AAUCUGGGGUCCCCGACCUCCGAGUUGUAAUUUGGAGAGGCAUCUUCGGGGGGGAGCGCCGGCCCMUGUUCCUUGGGACAGGACGUCMCAGAGGGUGAGAAUCCCGUGCCUGGCCGGCUGCCUCCUCCCGGGUGGAGGGCCUUCGACGAGUCGAGUUGUUUGGGAAUGCAGCUCCAAGUGGGUGGUAAAUUUCAUCUAAAGCUAAAUACCGGCGGGAGACCGAUAGCGCACAAGUAGAGUGAUCGAAAGAUGAAAAGCACUUUGAAAAUAGAGUCAAAAAGUACGUGAAAUUGUUGAAAGGGAAGCGCUUGAGACCAGACUCGGGCCUGGGCAAACAUCGCGCCCCUCGGGGCCGUGCAAUUGCCCGGGCCUGGGCCAGCAUCAGUUGGCGUGGCGGGACAAAGGCGCGGGGAAUGUGGCUCCCCUCGGGGAGUGUUAUUAGGCCCGCGCUCAAUGCCGCCGACGCCGACUGAGGACCGCGCCUCGGCUAGGAUGCUGGCUUAAUGGCCUUCAGCGACCCGUCUUGAAACACGGACCAAGGAGUCUAACAUCUAUGCGAGUGUUUGGGCGACAAACCCUUGCGCGGAAUGAAAGUGAGCGGAGGUGGGAACCCCCCCGCGGGGCGCACCAUCGACCGAUCCUGAUGUCUUCGGAUGGAUUUGAGUA
rnacentral:rRNA from 1 species